rnacentral:rRNA from 1 species
UACGGAGGGUGCAAGCGUUGUCCGGAUUUAUUGGGUUUAAAGGGUGCGUAGGCGGUUCUUUAAGUCUGGGGUGAAAGCCCGUUGCUCAACAACGGAACUGCCCUGGAAACUGGCGAACUUGAGUACAGACGAGGGUGGCGGAAUGGAUGGUGUAGCGGUGAAAUGCAUAGAUACCAUCCAGAACCCCGAUUGCGUAGGCAGCUGACUAGGCUGGUACUGACACUGAGGCACGAAAGCGUGGGGAGCGAACAGG